AGAGUUUGAUCAUGGCUCAGAACGAACGCUGGCGGCGUGCUUAACACAUGCAAGUCGAGUGCGCGGUUGUAGCAAUACAACUGGCGCGCGGCGCACGGGUGCGUAACACGUGGGUAACCUGCCCUUUGGUGGGGAAUAACUCCGCGAAAGCGGAGCUAAUUCCGCAUAAGAUCCGCAAGAAUGAAAGCCGCAAGGCGCCGAAGGAGGGGCCCGCGCCCGAUUAGCUAGUUGGUGAGGUAAUGGCUCACCAAGGCUUUGAUCGGUAGCUGGUCUGAGAGGAUGAUCAGCCACACUGGAACUGAGACACGGUCCAGACUCCUACGGGAGGCAGCAGUGGGGAAUCUUGCACAAUGGGCGAAAGCCUGAUGCAGCGACGCCGCGUGGGGGAUGAAGCAUUUCGGUGUGUAAACCCCUUUCGAUCCGGACGAAACCCCGCAAGGGAUUGACGGUACGGAUAUAAGAAGCCCGGCUAACUACGUGCCAGCAGCCGCGGUA
rnacentral:rRNA from 1 species